ensembl:lncRNA
AGGGAGGCCUGGCGUGCUGCAGUUCAUGGGGUUGCAAAGAGUCAGACACGACUGAGCGACUGAACUGAACUGAACGGAACUGACUGCCUUGCCAAGACUCAUUUGCCCAUCCCUGACUGGACUCUCUGGCUCUAGCUGGAUGUCAUUCCCUCUCCAGGCCCCCUGCCUUUGCACCAGCUGUUCCUGCCUUUGAAAUGCACAUAUUCUCUUUUGUCUACUUGGUAAACUCUCACACCUCCCUCAGGGCCCAUCUCCAAGGUGUCCUCCUCUCAAGACCUUCUCUUUCUCCCUCAGGAGUUGUCUGUACCCUCACAGCGCCUGGCACACCCUGUGGCCGUCACACUAACCAUGCCAUGUUGGUCUGUGUGUCUGUCUACCCAGACUGUGAGCCCCUCAGAGGCAUGAUGUUAAACCACUCAUCUCUGUACCAAACAGGUGGUGUUUUCCCUGUCUCUUUGGCGCCGUAAGAUGAAGCUCUGAGGGCCAGUGUGGAGCAUAAGACCAUCAAGGAGUGCGUGCUCUGGGGAUGAAAAGAACUGAAGCAACUCCAUAGAUACACAGCAAAUACAUGCAAACACUUCAACUGUUACCAUGAUUCUGACAAGUGAUCUGUUAUUGUUUGAACCCCGUCACCAGGGUCCACAGUAUUCAAAGACUCCUCAUUAAAACCCCAAAAGAUCCAUCUGUAAUGGUCUAGAGGUCUUCCCACUGGGACCCAGAGGCCCCUGAAUGGGGAUGAUAUCCCCUUGGGAUCCAAAGAUACUCAUCCCUCUUCAGGGCUUGAGGGCCCUGUGCUCCAGGGCUUAGAGCUUACUACAGUUUACAGGUCUUUCUGAAGGUGGUGCCUGUGUGCCCUAGAGGCCUGUCCAGCCCUUGCUUACACUCCAUUUCAUUCAGCAGCAGUUCUGUUUGAAACAUCAAGGGCAGAAAGAAUCAUGGUCCAAGUGUUUGCUCUGAGCUCAGGGCUAUCAGUAAGGGAGGUUCCUGGGCACGCUAAGCCCAGGAACAUGGACUUAGCAUGGGGCUGCCCCAGAGCUGAAAAUAUUUCUUAGCAGCUCUCAUG